rnacentral:rRNA from 1 species
ACGAAAAAUAACGAUACGGGACUCAUCCGAGGCCCCGUAAUCGGAAUGAGUACACUCUAAACCCUUUAACGAGGAUCAAUUGGAGGGCAAGUCUGGUGCCAGCAGCCGCGGUAAUUCCAGCUCCAAUAGCGUAUAUUAAAGUUGUUGCGGUUAAAAAGCUCGUAGUCGAAUUUGUGUCCCGCGCCGCCGGUUCAUCGCUCGCGGUGUCAACUGGCGUGUCCGCGGGACGUCCUGCCGGUGGGCUUAGCUCCUGUGGGCGGCCCAAUUUCAAUCCCACCGCGGUGCUCUUCACUGAGUGUCGAGGUGGGCCGGCACGUUUACUUUGAACAAAUUAGAGUGCUUAAAGCAGGCUAAAACAUCGCCUGAAUACUGUGUGCAUGGAAUAAUGGAAUAGGACCUCGGUUCUAUUUUGUUGGUUUUCGGAACCCCGAGGUAAUGAUUAAUAGGAACGGAUGGGGGCAUUCGUAUUGCGACGUUAGAGGUGAAAUUCUUGGAUCGUCGCAAGACGGACAGAAGCGAAAGCAUUUGCCAAAAACGCUUUCAUUGAUCAAGAACGAAAGUUAGAGGUUCGAAGGCGAUCAGAUACCGCCCUAGUUCUAACCAUAAACGAUGCCAGCUAGCGAUCCGCCGACGUUCCUCCGAUGACUCGGCGGGCAGCUUCCGGGAAACCAAAGCUUUUGGGUUCCGGGGGAAGUAUGGUUGCAAAGCUGAAACUUAAAGGAAUUGACGGAAGGGCACCACCAGGAGUGGAGCCUGCGGCUUAAUUUGACUCAACACGGGAAACCUCACCAGGCCCGGACACCGGAAGGAUUGACAGAUUGAGAGC